UAGGGAAUCUUCGGCAAUGGGGGGAACCCUGACCGAGCAACGCCGCGUGAGUGAAGAAGGUUUUCGGAUCGUAAAGCUCUGUUGUUAAGGAAGAACGAGUGUGAGAAUGGAAAGUUCAUGCUGUGACGGUACUUAACCAGAAAGGGACGGCUAACUACGUGCCAGCAGCCGCGGUAAUACGUAGGUCCCGAGCGUUGUCCGGAUUUAUUGGGCGUAAAGCGAGCGCAGGCGGUUUUUUAAGUCUGAUGUGAAAGCCCACGGCUCAACCGUGGAGGGUCAUUGGAAACUGGAAAACUUGAGUGCAGAAGAGGAGAGUGGAAUUCCAUGUGUAGCGGUGAAAUGCGUAGAUAUAUGGAGGAACACCAGUGGCGAAGGCGACUCUCUGGUCUGUAACUGACGCUGAGGCUCGAAAGCGUGGGUAGCAAACAGG
rnacentral:rRNA from 1 species